rnacentral:rRNA from 1 species
CGCUGAGUUUGAUCCUGGCUCAGAUUGAACGCUGGCGGCAUGCUUUACACAUGCAAGUCGAACGGUAACAGGCCGCAAGGUGCUGACGAGUGGCGAACGGGUGAGUAAUGCAUCGGGAACGUGCCCAGUCGUGGGGGAUAACGCAGCGAAAGCUGCGCUAAUACCGCAUACGAUCUAUGGAAUGAAAGCGGGGACCGUAAGGCCUCGCGCGAUUGGAGCGGCCGAUGUCAGAUUAGGU